rnacentral:tRNA from 4 species
UGGUGCGCCCGACAGGAUUCGAACCUGAGACCUCUGCCUCCGGAGGGCAGCGCUCUAUCCAGCUGAGCUACGGGCGC